CUCUGUUGGUCAACCAAAACUUUCCGAUUCUCCUAUGACCUCUACUAUCAAAAAGCUUCAACACACGUUCUGAUGUAUAUAUAUAUAUUUAUGUCCAACAGCAAGUUAUAAGCUUCUAAAAGACGAGAACAUAUUAUAAGUUUUAAGUCUUUGGUCUGACCUACCGUUCGGGGUUCGAACCCACGGCCUACCGCAAUAUAAUCAAUGGAACACGCUAGCAUACAACCAGACAAUGCUAAUAAUAAUAAUAAAACAAAGAAAC
rnacentral:lncRNA from 1 species